ensembl:lncRNA
AACAAUCUGUAUAUUGGUCCUUGAUUUGAAACUUCUUCAUUAUUCCACGUCUACCCCUGGGUCCCAAAACCUGAAAUUCAUUUAGACUUCCACUGUGUGGGUUUUGAAUUGAAGAACUGGAGGUAGAAGAAGAAAUGCAAGACAAGAGUUAUCCAGUAGGCAGAGCACUGACCUUGCACACAGGAGACUGGGUUUACCUUUGGGAGUCUGUGACUUCAGACUGAUCACUGUAUCAAACCAUCGAACCUCAGGGGUGGAUACAGGUGCAUAACAGGAGACUGGAAAACCACGGACAGACCUGAGCCCAGCACAGGAAGAGAAAAGACAGAUGCAGAGGAUUGGCAAGAGGUCACGUUUUCUAGGCUUGUAAUGGAAAGCUGGAAGAAACAGAAAAGAAGUCGGAUAUUGGGAAACGUGUGAUGAGGGGACAAGCUCAGCUUGGUUCCUGAAAUAUAAAUCUUCUGGGCCAUGGGAUAUUCAGCGUUACAGCCUCAGCUGAUCCUUCUGUGCAGUCAUCAGUCAGACCAUGCAGCACAGUGAUAGAGUGAGCCUGAAUAAUACUCUUGCACAAUGUCUGCCAUGCUCCGUAAUGUCCUCAAAGGAAUUGUGCUUACAAUCUGAACUUGUUUAUAUUCUUUCCGUUGCCCAGGAAAAUGGAUAAUUCCUUUUCCCAUCG